rnacentral:rRNA from 1 species
UCCUACGGGAGGCAGCAGUGGGGAAUCUUGCACAAUGGAGGAAACUCUGAUGCAGCGAUGCCGCGUGAGUGAAGAAGGCCCUUGGGUUGUAAAGCUCUUUCGUCGGGGAAGAAAAUGACUGUACCCGAAUAAGAAGGUCCGGCUAACUUCGUGCCAGCAGCCGCGGUAAUACGAAGGGACCUAGCGUAGUUCGGAAUUACUGGGCUUAAAGAGUUCGUAGGUGGUUGAAAAAGUUAGUGGUGAAAUCCCAGAGCUUAACUCUGGAACUGCCAUUAAAACUUUUCAGCUAGAGUAUGAUAGAGGAAAGCAGAAUUUCUAGUGUAGAGGUGAAAUUCGUAGAUAUUAGAAAGAAUACCAAUUGCGAAGGCAGCUUUCUGGAUCAUUACUGACACUGAGGAACGAAAGCAUGGGUAGCGAAGAGGAUUAGAUACCCUCGUAGUCCAUGCCGUAAACGAUGUGUGUUAGACGUUGGAAAUUUAUUUUCAGUGUCGCAGCGAAAGCGAUAAACACACCGCCUGGGGAGUACGACCGCAAGGUUAAAACUCAAAUGAAUUGACGG